rnacentral:rRNA from 1 species
AUUGAACGCUGGCGGCAGGCUUAACACAUGCAAGUCGAGCGGGGUGAUGGUGCUUGCACUAUCACUUAGCGGCGGACGGGUGAGUAAUGCUUAGGAAUCUGCCUAUUAGUGGGGGACAACAUCUCGAAAGGGAUGCUAAUACCGCAUACGUCCUACGGGAGAAAGCAGGGGAUCACUUGUGACCUUGCGCUAAUAGAUGAGCCUGAGUCGGAUUAGCUAGUUGGUGGGGUAAAGGCCUACCAAGGCGACGAUCUGUAGCGGGUCUGAGAGGACGAUCCGCCACACUGGGACUGAGCUACGGCCCAGACUCCUACGGGAGGCAGCAGUGGGGAAUAUUGGACAAUGGGGGGAACCCUGAUCCAGCCAUGCCGCGUGUGUGAAGAAGGCCUUAUGGUUGUAAAGCACUUUAAGCGAGGAGGAGGCUCUUUUGGUUAAUACCCAAGAUGAGUGGACGUUACUCGCAGAAUAAGCACCGGCUAACUCUGUGCCAGCCGCCGCAGUAA